rnacentral:rRNA from 1 species
AUUGAACGCUGGCGGCAGGCCUAACACAUGCAAGUCGAGCGGUAGAGAGGAGCUUGCUUCUCUUGAGAGCGGCGGACGGGUGAGUAAUGCCUAGGAAUUUGCCUGGUAGUGGGGGAUAACGUUCGGAAACGGACGCUAAUACCGCAUACGUCCUACGGGAGAAAGUGGGGGAUCUUCGGACCUCACGCUAUCAGAUGAGCCUAGGUCGGAUUAGCUAGUUGGUGAGGUAAGGGCUCACCAAGGCGACGAUCCGUAACUGGUCUGAGAGGAUGAUCAGGCCCACUGGAACUGAGACACGGUCCAGACUCCUACGGGAGGCAGCAGUGGGGAAGAAUGGACAAUGGGGGCAAGCCUGAUCCAGGCAUGCCGCGUGUGUGAAGAAGGUCUUCGGAUUGUAAAGCACUUUAAGUUGGGAGGAAGGUCAGUAGCUUAAUACGUUGCUGAUUCGACGUUACCGACAGAAUAAGCACCGGCUAACUCUGUGCCAGCCGCCGCUGUAACAC